AAAAAGACAAACCCUAGGUUUCCGUGUCCAACUUUGACUGUCCGUCUUAUAUAAAUUUUUUUUAUAAUUCGUAUUUUCAUUGUUGUUAGAUGAUAAAAACAUGAUUAAUAUUUUAUGUGUGACUUGUCUUUUUAAUUUUUUUUCAUAAUUUUUUCAAAUAAGACGGACGGUCAAACGUUGGACACGGAAACCAGGGUUUGUCUUUUU
rnacentral:pre_miRNA from 1 species